rnacentral:rRNA from 1 species
GAUGAACGCUGGCGGCGUGCCUAAUACAUGCAAGUCGAGCGAACAGGCGAGGAGCUUGCUCCUCUGACGUUAGCGGCGGACGGGUGAGUAACACGUGGAUAACCUACCUAUAAGACUUGGAUAACUUCGGGAAACCGGAUCUAAUACCGGAUAAUAUAUUCAACCGCAUGGUUCAAUAGUGAAAGACGGUUUUGCUGUCACUUAUAGAUGGAUCCGCGCCGCAUUAGCUAGUUGGUAAGGUAACGGCUUGCCAAGGCAACGAUGCGUAGCCGACCUGAGAGGGUGAUCGGCCACACUGGAACUGAGACACGGUCCAGACUCCUACGGGAGGCAGCAGUAGGGAAUCUUCCGCAAUGGGCGAAAGCCUGACGGAGCAACGCCGCGUGAGUGAUGAAGGUCUUCGGAUCGUAAAACUCUGUUAUUAGGGAAGAACAAAUGUGUAAGUAACUAUGCACGUCUUGACGGUACCUAAACAGAAAGCCACGGCUAACUACGUG